UCCUUCAUUCUGACUCCAGUUCUGACCCAGUGGGUGGUGUAUGCUAUCCGAAACCUUACAGAAGACAAUAGUCAAAACCAAGAUCUGAUUGCACAGAUGGAGGACCAGGGGCUGGCAGACCCAUCCCUACUUAAAAAAAUGGGUUUUGAAGUUGAAAAGAGGGGUGAAAAGCUGAUUCUGAAAUCUACUAGUGACACACCUCAGCCAAGUGAAUGAACUUCAUCCAAAUAUCUGAAAUUUUUUUGGAUUCUGUUUUGAGGAUUUUUCAUCUUCUGCAGUAUGUAAAGUUGCAAGUGUUUGAAGAUUUAUGAGUACAGAGUUGGGAGCCUAUGAAUCUUUUAGGUAAUAGAGUUAAAUGUGUAUAAGCUACAAGUGAAAGUACCUUAGUGUUUUUUUGUUUGUUUCUUUGCUCUAAAUGUAACUCUCUGGCUUGCCUUUGUUCCCCGAAUAGAAUGUGCAUUUAAGUAAUAUGUUGUACUUACUGUGACAGCAAAUAAUAAAUCAGUCUCUUUGAGGGCACAUCCUUUAUUUGACAAAACUUGGAUGUUUGCUUGGAUUCUGUUUGUUCCUUCAGAUGGCAAGUCAGCAUCGUUCUUUUAUUUUCCCAUUCUAAUUUGGGUUUCUUGAACUCUGGCAGGCAAUUGAAGUCAUUUCUCACUGUGAUGAAUUUUAGCAGUCUCUUUUCACCCCCUCCUCCCCGCCUUUCCAGAACAUUGACAACACUCAUUUCUAGUUAAUUAAUUCGAGAACCCCCCUUCUUCAUUUUAGAAACUGGGCUGUGCUGUCACUGAACCCUGUCCCUUUGGAAUGUAGCAGGGAGCAAGACUGGGGAGAGAACAUGUGGGCACUUAACUCUUUUUGUUCCAAAUCAUCCCAGAAGUAGACUUCUUGAGAUCCAUUUCGUGUAAAGGUGAAUGCCUGCAUGUUCCCCACCUUCAUGCCUCUGUAACAGGGGAAGGAAUGUUUUAUGUUCUAUUCUGUGUACAGUGCCACGCCACUAAAGAUACAUUUGUAUCUUCUUUGGUUUAAAAAGCACCAGUCUUAUAAAAGUGCCAAAAAACCGUGUCUUCAUUGGAAUUACAAAAGCAGUUUUGGGGAAUAGGAGUUUAUUUGAUGUCUACCUCCCUACCUAUCUACCUACCAUCUAUCUAUCUGUCCACUUGUAUCAGAGGUAGGACUGGAUUUAGCAAGCACUAAGUGCUUCAAAACCACCCAGAUCACUAAUAUAAUCAAGAAAAACUCUAGUGGGAGGUCAUGUGUGAAUGCUUUAAAUGUAUCUUCUUGAACCACAUUACUGAAUUAAUGUAGCUAGAGAUUUUGUACAAUUUAUGUCGAACCUUCCAAAAUAAAAACAAUAGAGAUCUAACCAAAAA